GCCUUCUCAAACAGCUGAUCGGUGGCGGUCCUGGGCGUCUGACCCUCACCAAUUAGAUAUUGAUGACCUAUCCUAAGGAUAGGUCAUCACUAUUAAAAACCCAG